rnacentral:rRNA from 1 species
AACGAACGCUGGCGGCAUGCCUAACACAUGCAAGUCGAACGAUCACUUCGGUGAUAGUGGCGCACGGGUGCGUAACGCGUGGGAACCUGCCCUUAGGUUCGGAAUAACUCAGAGAAAUUUGAGCUAAUACCGGAUAAUGUCUUCGGACCAAAGAUUUAUCGCCUUUGGAUGGGCCCGCGUUGGAUUAGCUUGUUGGUGGGGUAAAAGCCUACCAAGGCGACGAUCCAUAGCUGGUCUGAGAGGAUGAUCAGCCACACUGGGACUGAGACACGGCCCAGACUCCUACGGGAGGCAGCAGUGGGGAAUAUUGGACAAUGGGCGAAAGCCUGAUCCAGCAAUGCCGCGUGAGUGAUGAAGGCCUUAGGGUUGUAAAGCUCUUUUACUAGGGAUGAUAAUGACAGUACCUAGAGAAUAAGCUCCGGCUAACUCCGUG